UACAGAGGUCUCAAGCGUUGUUCGGAUUCAUUGGGCGUAAAGGGUGCGUAGGUGGCGCCGUAAGUCAGGUGUGAAAUUUCGGAGCUUAACUCCGAAACUGCAUUUGAUACUGCGGUGCUUGAGGACUGGAGAGGAGACUGGAAUUUACGGUGUAGCAGUGAAAUGCGUAGAGAUCGUAAGGAAGACCAGUGGCGAAGGCGGGUCUCUGGACAGUUCCU
rnacentral:rRNA from 1 species